rnacentral:rRNA from 1 species
GACGAACGCUGGCGGCGUGCUUAACACAUGCAAGUCGAACGGAAAAGACGGACUUUGCUCUGUUGCUCCAGUGCCGAACGGGUGAGUAACACGUGAGCAACCUGCCCCUGACUCUGGGAUAAGUGCUGGAAACGGCGGCUAAUACUGGAUAUGUGCCCUGACUGCAUGGUGUGCGUUGGAAAAUAUUUUUCGGUUGGGGAUGGGCUCGCGGCCUAUCAGCUUGUUGGUGAGGUAAUGGCUCACCAAGGCGUCGACGGGUAGCCGGCCUGAGAGGGUGACCGGCCACACUGGGACUGAGACACGGCCCAGACUCCUACGGGAGGCAGCAGUGGGGAAUAUUGCACAAUGGGCGCAAGCCUGAUGCAGCAACGCCGCGUGAGGGAUGACGGCCUUCGGGUUGUAAACCUCUUUUAGCAGGGAAGAAGCGAAAGUGACGGUACCUGCAGAAAAAGCGCCGGCUAACUACGUG